rnacentral:rRNA from 1 species
CGAACGGGUGAGUAACACGUGAGUAACCUGCCCCUGACUCCGGGAUAAGCCUGGGAAACUGGGUCUAAUACUGGAUAUGACUACUGGCCGCAUGGUCUGGUGGUGGAAAGAUUUAUCGGUUGGGGAUGGACUCGCGGCCUAUCAGCUUGUUGGUGAGGUAGUGGCUCACCAAGGCGACGACGGGUAGCCGGCCUGAGAGGGUGACCGGCCACACUGGGACUGAGACACGGCCCAAACUCCUACGGGAGGCUGCAGUGGGGAAUAUUGCACAAUGGGCGCAAGCCUGAUGGAGCAACGCCGCGUGAGUGAAGGAGGCCUUCGGGUUGUAAACUCUUUUUGUUAGGAGCAAGGCACUUUGUGUUGAGUGUACCUUUCGAAUAAGCACCGGCUAACUACGUGCCAGCAGCCGCGGUAAUACGUAGGUGGCAAGCGUUGUCCGGAUUUAUUGGGCGUAAAGGGAUAGUAGGCGGUUCGUCGCGUCCGGUGUGAAAGUCCAUCGCUUAACGGUGGAUCCGCGCCGGGUACGGGCGGGCUUGAGUGCGGUAGGGGAGACUGGAACUCCCAGUGUAACGGUGAAAUGUGCAGAUAUUGGGAAGAACACCGAUGGCGAAGGCAGCUCUCUGGGCCGUUACUGACGCUGAGGCUCGAAAGCGUGGGGAGCAAAUAGGAUUAGAUACCCUAGUAGUCCAUGCCGUAAACGAUGAAUGCAGGAUGUUGUGUUGGAAGUCAAAUUUCAGUGCUGCAGUUAACGCAGUAAGUACUCCGCCUGAGUAGUACGUUCGCAAGAAUGAAACUCAAAGGAAUUGACGGGGGCCCGCACAAGCGGUGGAGCAUGUGGUUUAAUUCGAUGCAACGCGAAGAACCUUACCUGGGUCGUGCAUUUUUCCCGACGAUCCCAGAGAUGGGGUUUCCCUUCGGGGCGGGUUCACAGGUGGUGCAUGGUCGUCGUCAGCUCGUGUUGGGAGAUGUUGGGUUAAGUCCCGCAACGAGCGCAACCCUCGUUCCAUGUUGCCAUCGGUUCGGCCGGGGACUCAUGGGAGACUGCCGGGGUCAACUCGGAGGAAGGUGGGGACGACGUCAAAUCAUCAUGCCCCUUAUGUCUUGGGCUUCACGCAUGCUACAAUGGCCGGUACAAAGGGUUGCGAUACUGUGAGGUGGAGCUAAUCCCAAAAAGCCGGUCUCAGUUCGGAUUGGGGUCUGCAACUCGACCCCAUGAAGUCGGAGUCGCUAGUAAUCGCAGAUCAGCAACGCUGCGGUGAAUACGUUCCCGGGCCUUGUACACACCGCCCGUCAAGUCACGAAAGUUGGUAACACCAGAAGCC